CACGUAGGGUGCGAGCGUUGUCCGGAAUUAUUGGGCGUAAAGAGCUCGUAGGCGGUGUGUCGCGUCGGCCGUGAAAACCUGCAGCUUAACUGUGGGCUUGCGGUCGAUACGGGGCAUCACUGGAGUUCGGCAGGGGGAGACUGGAAUUCCUGGUGUAGCGGUGAAAUGCGCAGAUAUCAGGAGGAACACCGGUGGCGAAGGCGGGUCUCUGGGCCGAGUACU
rnacentral:rRNA from 1 species